GCCCAAGAGAUCGGGAUAACACCUGGAAACAGAUGCUAAUACCGGAUAACAACAGAUGAUGCCUAUCAACUGUUUAAAAGAUGGUUCUGCUAUCACUCUUGGAUGGACCUGCGGUGCAUUAGCUAGUUGGUAGGGUAACGGCCUACCAAGGCGAUGAUGCAUAGCCGAGUUGAGAGACUGAUCGGCCACAUUGGGACUGAGACAAGGCCCAAACUCCUACGGGAGGCAGCAGCA
rnacentral:rRNA from 1 species